CUCCACAGUGCCCAUCAUUGAAAACAAGAAGAUCCCAGAAAGCAUCAUUAUUAACUCACCACAUUUAUGGAGACCUACACUGGAUCCUAGGUCAGAACCCCUGUGAAGCUGAAUCACCUUUACUCUCCUAGAGACAGCAAGAUUGUUCCCCUCCACUGUGAGAUGGCAUCCCUUCUUCUACGUUUCACCAUUUCUGUUCACCUCAAGAUUUCCCUCAUACCCUGUUUGGCAAUUUCUGGAGCUCCCAACAUGACCAGUGUGAGGAACGAAGCUCAAGCAGAAUACUGAUACACUAACAUAUCUACUCAAGGAGUCUUUCUAUAAAGAGAUGUAAAAGCAGUGGCAUUGCAAUCAACAUGUUAACAGCUACUUCAGAGAAGCCAUUAGUCCCUGAGUUGCGGAGACACUUCUACUUCUUCUGGCCAUUUAAGUGACCACACCAUCUUACUGAUAUCCCAAAGUUCCCAAAAAAUUAAGCUUGAUAUAAACUUGAAACCUGGUAGAUUUUGAGUUACUUCCUACAUUUUCUACGUGAAACUUUCA
rnacentral:lncRNA from 1 species